rnacentral:rRNA from 1 species
GACGGAGGGGGCUAGCGUUGUUCGGAAUUACUGGGCGUAAAGAGCGCGUAGGCGGUUUAGUAAGUUGGAAGUGAAAGCCCGGGGCUUAACCUCGGAAUUGCUUUCAAAACUGCUAAUCUAGAGUGUAGUAGGGGAUGAUGGAAUUCCUAGUGUAGAGGUGAAAUUCUUAGAUAUUAGGAGGAACACCGGUGGCGAAGGCGGUCAUCUGGGCUACAACUGACGCUGAUGCGCGAAAGCGUGGGGAGCAAACAGG